rnacentral:rRNA from 1 species
UACGUAGGUGACAAGCGUUGUCCGGAUUUACUGGGCGUAAAGAGCGCGCAGGCGGUCGUUCAAGUCGAGUGUGAAAGCCCCCGGCUCAACUGGGGAGGGUCACGCGAUACUGAUCGACUCGAAGGCAGGAGAGGGUAGUGGAAUUCCCGGUGUAGUGGUGAAAUGCGUAGAUAUCGGGAGGAACACCAGUGGCGAAGGCAGCUCGCUGGGACGGUACUGACGCUGAGACGCGAAAGCGUGGGGAGCAAACAGG